GUAUUCCGCUCCAUAGCGUAUAUUAAAGUUGCUGCAGUUUAAAAGCUCGUAGUUGGAUUUCGGAACCAUAUGUUGGUUGUGCCUCGGUACGUACUGGCAUUGUUGGUUUCUCCCUUCUGACGAACUAUGAUGUCAUUAAUUUGGUGUCAUGGGGAAUCAGGACUGUUACCUUGAAAAAAUUAGAGUGUUUAAAGCAGGCUCACGCUUGAAUACAUUAGCAUGGAAUAAUGAAAUAGGACGUUUGAUUCUAUUUUGUUGGUUUCUAGGAUUGACGUAAUGAUUAAUAGGGAUAGUUGGGGGCAUUAGUAUUCAAUUGUCAGAGGUGANAUUCUUGGAUUUAUUGAAGACUAACUACUGCGAAAGCAUUUGCCAAGGAUGUUUUCAUUAAUCAAGAACGAAAGUUAGGGGAUCGAAGACGUUCAGAUACCGUCGUAGUCUUAACCAUAAACUAUGCCGACUAGGGAUCGGAUGAUGUUAAUUUUUUAAUGACUCAUUCGGCACCUUACGGGAAAACA
rnacentral:rRNA from 1 species